rnacentral:lncRNA from 1 species
UGUGAGUAGGGCUGGCCUGCGUGCCACAGACCACCGUGCUGGUUAUAUGAGUAACUAGGGCUUGGCAGCAGGCAGGAGGCAGGGGGGAAAUGCCUUAGCGUUGACUUCCUAGGAUGCAUUGCUCAGUUGCCCGGGCUCUGCUUCCAGGCCUUGACAGGUCAGUUUGCUAGAAGAGGAGAAUGGCCCCUUCUCUGGGCCUGGAUCUGAAGCUUGUCCUCUGCUGGAGACGUGAGCCUGUGCCCUACUCGGCAGGCUGGCCAGGGCCCAGAACGUCUGAACCGUGUGUGGCAGCACCUGCCAGGCUCUCGGCUCUGAGUCCCAUGGUUGGGGGGGUCCGUCAAGGACCAAAGGGCGAGUCCAUUUGCAGCCUGGUGACCACCAGGUGGUCUCAGAGUGAGAAGAGGAGGUCAGCAGGGUCUGCUUCUUAGACAAGGGUGCGUCCACCUAGCAAGGCAGCAUUAUGACCAGAAGCCGAGGUGUCCUCAGGAGCUGGGGAAGGAGCGCUGUCUUCUCUUGGGACGUGAGCUGCUGUGGUUGCUGAGUCUGGGCAUGGGAACAGGCCUGACCGGACCUGGUCGGCCUCAUUCUCUGUGCACCUGGGAUUCAGCGGCCUUGUCCUCCAGCAUGAGGUGCAGCCAAAAGGGCAUCUAGUUUCUUCUCCCUCUUUAUCUGUACCAAGGGUUCCAGUUAAACCCCUGCGGGCUGCUGUGGUCACUGCCUCCCAUGGGGGUGGCUCCUGGGUCCCUGCUCUGGAGUCCUCAUUUGAGAAAGAGGACGCUGGUGCCCUGUGUCUGGUUUGUGGAGCUUGUGCAUGCAACUGACCAGGUAAUUGGCAUGACCCUCAGGCACCUGCUCUUCUCUCUUCUCUUCUCCAUGAUGCUGAACUUUCUUUAGUCAAACAUCAUCGCCUGGCUGCGGAAAGCGCUGGAGACAGACAAGAAAGACUGGGUCAAAGAGACAGAGCCAGAAGCCGACCAGGACGGGUACUACCAGACCACACUCCCUGCCAUUGUCUUCCAGAUGUUUGAACAGAAUCUUCAAGUUGCUGCUCAGAUAAGUGAAGAUUUGAAAACAAAGGUACUAGUUUUAUGUCUUCAGCAGAUGAAUUCUUUCCUAAGCAGGUAUGUCUUUCUGCCAGUGUGCUAAUGUACACAUUGAAUGUUUUUAAAAAUUAGAAGCAAAAAUUUUUUGAUCCUACUAUGCCUGUUACUAAGAAGAAAUUAAGCCGGUAGAUUCCCCACG